rnacentral:rRNA from 1 species
AGUCGAACGCCAGCGCUGGAGCAUCCUGGCGGCGAGUGGCGAACGGGUGAGUAAUACAUCGGAACGUGUCCUGUAGUGGGGGAUAGCCCGGCGAAAGCCGGAUUAAUACCGCAUACGAUCUACGGAUGAAAGCGGGGGAUCGCAAGACCUCGCGCUAUAGGGGCGGCCGAUGGCGGAUUAGCUAGUUGGUGGGGUAAAGGCCCACCAAGGCGACGAUCCGUAGCUGGUCUGAGAGGACGACCAGCCACACUGGGACUGAGACACGGCCCAGACUCCUACGGGAGGCAGCAGUGGGGAAUUUUGGACAAUGGGCGCAAGCCUGAUCCAGCAAUGCCGCGUGUGUGAAGAAGGCCUUCGGGUUGUAAAGCACUUUUGUCCGGAAAGAAAUCCUCUGGGUUAAUACCCCGGGGGGAUGACGGUACCGGAAGAAUAAGCACCGGCUAACUACGUGCCAGCAGCCGCGGUAAUACGUAGGGUGCGAGCGUUAAUCGGAAUUACUGGGCGUAAAGCGUGCGCAGGCGGUGAUGUAAGACCGAUGUGAAAUCCCCGGGCUUAACCUGGGAACUGCAUUGGUGACUGCAUCGCUGGAGUAUGGCAGAGGGGGGUAGAAUCCACGUGUAGCAGUGAAAUGCGU